rnacentral:rRNA from 1 species
CAGCCGCCGCGGUAAUACGGAGGGGGCUAGCGUUGUUCGGAAUUACUGGGCGUAAAGCGCACGUAGGCGGCUUUGUAAGUCAGAGGUGAAAGCCUGGAGCUCAACUCCAGAAUUGCCUUUGAGACUGCAUCGCUUGAACGUCGGAGAGGUGAGUGGAAUUCCGAGUGUAGAGGUGAAAUUCGUAGAUAUUCGGAAGAACACCAGUGGCGAAGGUGGCUCACUGGACGACUGUUGACGCUGAGGUGCGAAAGCGUGGGGAGCAAACAGGAUUAGAUACCCGCGUAGUCCCUGUCUCUUAUAC